rnacentral:rRNA from 1 species
ACUCCUACGGGAGGCAGCAGUGGGGAAUAUUGCACAAUGGGCGAAAGCCUGAUGCAGCAACGCCGCGUGAGGGAUGAAGGCCUUCGGGUUGUAAACCUCUUUUAGCAGGGAAGAAGCGAAAGUGACGGUACCUGCAGAAAAAGCACCGGCUAACUACGUGCCAGCAGCCGCGGUAAUAC